AUGUGGGAUCUGGAGAUGUGAACGGAUGCAUGGAAAAGUCCAAAGCAAACACAAGCCAUGUCUGGGAGCAGGGCCAGAGGGGGCCCGUGGGAAUGCUGUUUAGCUCUCAGAGCCUGAGAUGGGUUGGAACUGCAGUCAGAGUUCUUUUUCCAUCCCUUCGGAACCCACCACUCCCUACCCCACCUCUCACAGCCUCUGGCCACCCUGCAGAGGGCCCAGCUUCCUGCUCAACUCCUGCCCUGACCCAGAGGGCCAACUCUUCCAGUUCUAUUCAAAUCUACCCAUGUUUCAUUUAUUCACCAGGAAAAAAAAAAUAAAACCUAACAUCUACUUUUUAUUGAAUACUAUAAUGUAGAUAUUAUUCCCCUUUUUACAACAGAGGAUACGGAAACUCAGAUGAAUUUAGCAACUUGCCCUAGGUCAGUCACACUUCUAGAAACUGACAGAGAGGACCUCACAUCUAGAUCUUUCAGCCUCCAAAAUCUCCCUCAUUGUGACUCCAUUCUCCUUUCCUCCUCUUUUGCCCUGCUGGAGGGAGGGGAAGAGCUGCAUCUCACCAUAACCUCCUCAUUGAAAUGAUGUGACAUCUGGGACUUGCUUUAGUGUAACCUAGUGCAGAAAAGAAGUGCAAGGCCACCAAUGAAACCGGUGCUGACUGCUAAAGUUGAGUGAUGGGUUCAUUGGAGCUCCAUAUACUACUUUAACAUGUUUUAAAUUCUCAUAAUAAGAGAUUAAAACAAUAUAUCCUCUGCAAAGUUGUGGUUAGGUAUAGAAACACCUAGUAUGACUGGAGCUUCAGUGAUGAUAGAGAUUGUCAGAAGGUUCCAGAACACAGAGCUGCAAGGGACUGCAGGGGGUCACCAGGUCCAGUCCCUGCCUUAGAGCAGGACUUCGGCCUUCUCCAGACACAUCAACUUGAAACAAGGCCAAGGCCUCCCUCCUCCCCAUGAUUCCAUCUCUUGGUGUGACGGGCCUCAACUUAGCUGAAAAACCAGCCAAGGAUGGAGAAGGCUGCUUCCUCCGUUACACUUUCCAUGUGAAGUUUUAAUUGUCUGUCUGUCUGUGUUUUCCCCUUUGGCAGAUAUUCCAGGCUCAGGGCAGCUAUAGUUUCCUGGUCUGUGGCGUGAUCUUUGGUUGUCUGGCUUUUACCUUCUAUAUCUUGCUCCUGUUUUUCCACAGGAUGCACCCUGGACUCCCAUCAGUUCCUACCCAAGACAGAUCAAUUGGAAUGGAAAACUCUGAGUGCUACCAGAGGUAAAACUGGGUGAAGGAGGCAAGAGAAGACUUUCAGCCUCUUGAUCACCAGCACGACCAUACUGUUUCAGAAAGCUGGGUGGUGGUGGAGGCGCUCUCUCAAUGGCUAUUCAAGUCUUCUCCACUAAAACUUGGUUGGGUAGAGGAAAUUAAAGUGAGUCCUGGUACCUGGUCAAAAUCAUUAGAAGUUUACCUGGCUUCUCAAGUUAUCUUCUUCCCUGGUUCAGACUGUUGGUAAGAGCUGUCCAGAUACCCAGAUGGGAAGGAAGGAGACAGCCGCGCGCUUCACUCCAUUUGUCACCUCAUGCAUGGACCAUACUCUGGGUUUGAGAUCAUUCUUCAUUGAAGUUUGUAAAAAUAGGUUGAAAUUGUAAAGCUCCAUGAUCAUUGCUAUAUGUAGAUAUAUUUCAAUUUAAGCAAAACAAGCUGCAAGUUAUUCCCUGGCAUGCUCAAAGGAUUUUCGUGCUUUUCACUUAAUAGUCCAAAGUCCCUUAAAUUCCUGCUGCAGACAUCAAUAGCUUAUCUAUAUUCUCAAACACCAAAAGGAAAAGUUGAAUCUUGCUCUCUUUGGUAUACUAAUGUAGUGGUAUGCUAAGCUAGCUCAUACCAACUUAGAAAAGCUGAUUGUAAAAUUUUCAUUUUGACAGCUGGUUAUUAAAUGCAGCCAUUAUUAAAAAUCAAAUCUUACAAACUUAUAAUUAAAUCAAUUACAUUUAAAACAAAGGUAAUAAAUAUUCAAAGCAUAUCACUUCCUAAUUUGAUCUUGAUGCUCUUGAGGUAAUUUACGUCCAUGGUACCUGUGUGGUGGAAUUACUAUAUAUGAUGGUGUGCUACUGUGCACCUUGUCUCAGCUCCACUCUUCGUGAUAGCAUGUUGGUAGCUUGAAAUCAGCCAGGUGGGAGUAUUACCAUGGACACUGGCAAAAGCUACAGAUCCCGGAGAGCCAGUGGUUAAACAUUUACCAGCAUACCACUGCUAGUAAUCAAGGCUAACUGGUCCAGAAAUCGCCCGGGAGAAUGAAAUGGAUGUUCCAUUUUUUUCUACUGACAUUGACUAGCAUAUAAAAGGUAUAGAAACAGCACUAAGACUUUCUGAAAAUACCUAAUGAAAAUUUUACAUCUUUUUUUGUUUUUGUUUUUGAGACAGAGUCUCACUCUGUUGCCAGGCUGGAAUGCAGUGGCGUCAUCUCGGCUCACUGCAACCUCCGCCUCCCAGUUUCAAGCGAUUCUCCUGCCUCAGCCUCCCAAGUAGCUGUGACUACAGGCGCAUGCCAUCACGCACAGCUAAUUUUUUGUAUUUUUAGUAGAGACGGGAUUUCACCGUGUUAGCCAGGAUGGUCUUGAUCUCCUGACCUCAUGAUCUGCCCGCCUCGGCCUCCCAAAGUGCUGGGAUUACAGGCGUGAGCCACUGCACCCAGCCAAAAAUUUUCCAUCUUUUAUAGAGGGAAAAAAACUCUUUAUACCAUGGCAAGGCCUUUUCUUUCACAAAAAGCUGGGCCUACUGAACAAUUCAAGCUGUGCAGUAGUAGACUGAAAGCAGGAUUUGUUGAGGAGUUACAGCUCCUGUCCAGAGCAAAUCCUGUAGUGAUACAAGGAGAAUGUAAACUUGCCAGCUUAGACAGGGAUCAGUCCUGAGACUGCUGGCAGUAGCAAAUGGCUAUUAGAGUAACUGUAUAAUGGUUUUGCCUGCACUUUCUCUAUGUAUAUACAAAUGUACAUGUAUAAAUAUAAAAAUUAAGUGAUCAUGGUUCUUGGUAACCUGUCCCAAGUGCUGUGAUUCACACGCCUGACACUAAAAGGUUCUUCCUGGUCCAGUCAGCCAGCUGUGACCAGCAGCAGCACAGCUGAGUGCUGAGAAUCUGGCUGGAAAGAGAAACGUGGCUCAAGUGCUGGCUCACCUUCUAGCUGUGUGGCCCUGGGCAGGUUACUGAGGCUCUUCCAACCUCACUUUUCACAUGUAAAAUGGCAUUUCUAAAAGUACCUACCCUACCUCAAAGGAAUUCUGAAAAAAGUAAGUGAAUUUGUAUAAAGCACUCACAAUAUGCCUGACACACAAACUGCUUAAUAAAUGUUAGUAAUUUUUAAAACCUCCUCAUAAGCAGCUUAGAAAUUAUUCAUGUUUGGUACAUAUUUAUUGCAAGUCAAGCAGAUCCAACUUUUUUGAAAGCUGGUGGUCUAGGAGUAUAGUUUUAAUUAUGUUUGUAAAUACUCAAAAGUAUUAGAUGCCAGUCUAAUUUAAAUGCAGUCUGACUGUAGCGAGUAACUGACCUGGGCAAUGAAAAAGCAGCUGUAUUUUUCUUGUGGUUUUUCAAGAAAAUAUCCUUUUUAUACAGAUUUAGAAAGAAGAAUCAAUGGCUAUAUCGAAGUUGAUUGUGACUAAUUUGUUAAUACAGAAAACAACAUUAACACAAAUCUAAGAGUACCUUUCCUAAAAUAAAAUAUUUAAACUUA
rnacentral:sRNA from 1 species